ensembl:lncRNA
CACCAGGAUGUCACCAUGGCAGCACCUGAAUGUCACCAUGGGAUCACCUGAAUGUCCCCAUGGGAUCACCAUAACAUCACCAUGGGAUCACCAGGAGGUCAACAUGGGAUCAGCAGGAUGUCGCGAUGGGAUCACCAGGCUGUCACCAUGGCAGCACCAGGAUGUCACCAUGGGAUCACCUGAAUGUCCCCAUGGGAUCACCUGAAUGUCACCAUGGGAUCACCAGGAUGUUACCAUGGGAUCGCCUGAAUGUCACCACGGGAUCACCAGGAUCUCACUAUGGGAUCACCAGGAUUCCACCAUGGGAUCACCUGAACGUCCCCAUGGGAUCACCUGAAUGUCUCCAUGGGAUCACCAGGACCUCACUAUGGGAUCACCAGGAUGUCACCAUGGCAUCACCUGAAUGUCCCCAUGGGAUCACCAGGAGUCACCAUGGCAGCACCAGGAUGUCCCCAUGGGAUCACCAGGAGCUCAUUAUGGGAUCACCAGGAGGUCCCCAUAGGAUCACCUGAAUGUCCCCAUGGGAUCACCAGGAGCUCAUUAUGGGAUCACCAGGAUGUCCACAUGGGAUCACCAGGAGGUCGCCAUGACAGCACCAAGAUGUGACCAUGGGAUCACCAGGAUCUCAUUAUGGGAUCACCUGAAUGUCCCCAUGGGAUCACCAGGAUGUCAUCAUGGGAUCACCUGAAUGUCCCCAUGGGAUCACCUGAAUGUCACCAUGGGAUCACCAUAACAUCACCAUGGGAUCACCAGGAGCUCAUUAUGGGAUCACCAGGAUGUGACCAUGGGAUCAGUGCGAUGUCCCCAUGGGAUCACCAGAAUGUCCCCAUGGGAUCACCUGAAUGUCACCAUGGGAUCACCAGGAUGUCACUAUGGGAUCACCAGGAUGUCACCAUGGCAGCACCAGGAUGUCCCCAUGGGAUCACCAGGACCUCACUAUGGGAUCACCAGGAUGUCACCAUGGGAUCAGCAGGAUGUCACCACAGGAUCACAAGGAUGUCACCAUGGGAUCAGCAGGAUCUCAUUAUGGGAUCAGCAGCUGUCCGUAUGGGAUCAGUGGGCUGUCUGUAUGGGAUCACCAGGAUGUCACUAUGGGAUCAGCAGGCUGUCACUAUGGGAUCACCGCAACGUCACCAUGGGAUCAGAAGGCUGUCUGUAUGGGAUCACCAGGAUGUCCCUAUGGGAUCAGCAAGCUGUCACUAUGGGAUCACCAGGCUGUCCCUAUGAGAUCAGCAGGAUGUUGCUAUGGGAUCAGCAGGAUCCCACCAUAGCAGUACCAGGCUGACACUAUGGGAUCAGAAGGCUGUCACUAUGGGAUCACCGUAAUGUCACCAUGGGAUCAGCAGGCUGUCACUAUGGGAUCAGCAGGCUGUCCGUAUGGGAUCAGCAGACUGUCCCUAUGGGAUCAGUGGGCUGUCUGUAUGGGACCAGCAGGCUGUUCCUAUGGGAUCAGUGAAUCUCACUAUGGGACCACCAGGCUGUCCGUAUGGGAUCAGUGGGCUGUCUGUAUGGGAUCAGUAGGAUCUCACUAUGGGACCACCAGGCUGUCCGUGUGGGAUCAGUGGGCUGUCUGUAUGGGAUGAGGCGGCUGCCCAUAUGGGAUCAGUGGGCUGUCUGUAUGGGAUCAGUGGGCUGUUCCUAUGGGAUCAGCAGGAUCUCACUAUGGGACCAUCAGGCUGUCCGUGUGGGAUCAGCGGUGUGGUGCUUGUGCGGUGCGGGGCGGUACGGUGCGGU